AUACGUAGGUGACAAGCGUUAUCCGGAUUUACUGGUCGUAAAGGGCGUGUAGGCGGUCUUGCAAGUCAGAAGUGAAAUUCCUGAGCUCAACUCGGGCGCUGCUUCUGAAACUGCAGGACUUGAGUGCUGGAGGGGAUAGCGGAAUUCCUGGUGUAGCGGUGAAAUGCGGAGAUCUAAGGAGAUACACCGGUGGCGAAGGCGACUGAACGGGAGCUUAGGGACGCCGAGGCUCGAAUGCGUGAUGCAAAAACAGCAUUAGAUACCCCCGUAGCCCACGCUGUCAACGAUGAUUACUAUGUGUGGGGGGACUGACCCCGUCCGCGCCGCAGGUACCACAAUAAGGAAUCCCCCUGGAGAGUACGGUCUCAAGGUGGAAGCUCAAAUGAAUUGGCGGGG
rnacentral:rRNA from 1 species